rnacentral:rRNA from 1 species
GCUACGGCCAUACCAGCCUGUGUACGCCCGAUCUCGUCUGAUCUCGGAAGCUAAGCAGGGUCGGGCCUGGUUAGUACUUGGAUGUGAGACCGCCUGGGAAUACCAGGUGCUGUAAGCA